rnacentral:misc_RNA from 1 species
UCCGGCUUGCCACCGGCAGUUCCACUAGAGUGCUCAGCUUAACCUGGUAGCAACUAGUAGCGAGGGUUGCGCUCGUUGCGGGACUUAACCCAACAUCUCACGACACGAGCUGACGACAGCCAUGCAGCACCUGUGUUCUAGCCAGCCGAACUGAAGGACCUGAUCUCUCAAGCCCAAACUAGACAUGUCAAACGUGGGUAAGGUUCUUCGCGUUGCUUCGAAUUAAUCCACAUCAUCCACCGCUUGUGCGGGUCCCCGUCAAUUCCUUUGAGUUUUAAUCUUGCGACCGUACUCCCCAGGCGGUCAACUUCACGCGUUAGCUUCGUUACCAAGGAAUUGCUUCCCCGACAACCAGUUGACAUAGUUUAGGGCGUGGACUAC